UGGGGAAUAUUGGACAAUGGGCGCAAGCCUGAUCCAGCGACGCCGCGUGUGUGAAGAAGGCCUGCGGGUUGUAAAGCACUUUCGAUGGGAACGAAAUGUGCCGGGUUAAUACCCCGGUAAGCUGACGUUACUCAAUGAAGAAGCACCGGCUAACUCUGUGCCAGCAGCCGCGGUAAUACAGAGGGUGCGAGCGUUAAUCGGAAUUACUGGGCGUAAAGCGCACGUAGGUGGCGACGUAAGUCGGGUGUGAAAGCCCCGGGCUCAACCUGGGAAUUGCAUUCGAGACUGCAUUGCUGGAGUACGGAAGAGGAGGGCGGAAUUCCCGGUGUAGCGGUGAAAUGCGUAGAUAUCGGGAGGAACAUCAGUGGCGAAGGCGGGUUGCUGGGCUGAUACUGACGCUGAGGCGCGAAAGCUAGGGUAGCAAACGGGAUUAGAUACCCCUGUAAUCCCUGAGCGGGCUGGCAAGGCGCAU
rnacentral:rRNA from 1 species